CAGCAGCCACGGUAAUACAGAGGGUGCGAGCGUUAAUCGGAUUUACUGGGCGUAAAGCGUGCGUAGGCGGCUAAUUGAGUCGGAUGUGAAAUCCCCGAGCUUAACUUGGGAAUUGCAUUCGAUACUGGUUAGCUAGAGUGUGGGAGAGGAUGGUAGAAUUCCAGGUGUAGCGGUGAAAUGCGUAGAGAUCUGGAGGAAUACCGAUGGCGAAGGCAGCCAUCUGGCCUAACACUGACGCUGAGGUACGAAAGCAUGGGGAGCAAACAGGAUUAGAUACCCCUGUAGUCCCUGUCUCUUAUAU
rnacentral:rRNA from 1 species